AUCCAUGUAGUAUCUAGCACUUCCGAUUUUCCCAAAAAGAAAAAGAAAAAAAAGAUCGAUCAUCUUGAAAUCAAGCAAAAAAGAAUAAACCGAGUCAAACGAUUCUUUUUCAUUUCAGUGCCGGGUCAACUCGUUCAUUAAUGGGGUCAUCUUAUUUUUCAUUCUUUUGAAACCCUAUCAGACUUGUUUUUCCCCACCUGAUUUUAGUUUUCUUGGCUAUAUUUGUAGUUUUCUUGAAAAGGGUAGUCUUCUACUUGAUUUUUAGUUCUUUAUAGGUGUGAAUUUUAGUGAAUCUUUGUAAAAAGACAGAUUUUAUUUAGGAAGAUGAGUGUGAAGAAGUCUCAGGUUUGGCAGCCUUGUAAAAAGAAGAGAUCUUGAUUUUGUGGGCUUUGUUUUGUUUUUAAAUAUAAACUGAAACAAUAUAUGCACACACAUAUAUGUACAAUUCAUGGAUGGUAUUUGUAUAAUUCAGACUCUACAGUUAAAAAAGUCCACUUUUUAGACAAAAAAUUGAGGGUAGUUCUUGAAAGUUUAGGAGGAAAGAUUGGAUCUUGGAGCUAAUUAUGGCUAGUUUUUGAAGUUUGAGCAAAAAAGAUUGAAUCUUGAAGAGGAAUUGUGGUUAGUUUAUGAAGAUUGAGUAAAAAGAUAGAAUCUUGUAGUGAAAUAAUGGAUGGAAUCUGUAAUAUUUGAGGGGUUUGUAAAAUUCUGUUGGUAGGGAGUUACUGUUGAAUAGCUGUAUGUAGAGAGAGAUAUCUGAAGAUGGCAUCAAAAUCUUCGAGCAGUGGUGCUAGUAGCAGUAGUGGUGGCGGGAGGACUAAAGUGGGGAGGUAUGAGUUGGGAAGGACACUAGGGGAGGGGUCAUUUGCAAAGGUCAAAUUUGCCAAGAAUUCCGAGACUGGUGAAAAUGUGGCUAUUAAGAUUAUUGAUAAAGAGAAAGUUCUCAAGCAUAAAAUGAUUGGUCAGAUUAAACGUGAAAUUUCCACUAUGAAAUUAGUCAGACACCCGAAUGUUAUCCGUAUGCAUGAGGUUAUGGCAAGUAAGACAAAGAUAUAUAUUGUCCUGGAAUUUGUUACUGGCGGUGAACUCUUUGACAGAAUUGCUUCCAAGGGUAGGCUGAAAGAAGAUGAAGCGAGGAAGUACUUCCAGCAUCUCAUUAAUGCUGUGAACUACUGCCAUAGUCGAGGUGUUUUUCAUAGAGAUCUUAAGCCAGAAAAUCUGCUGCUGGAUGCAAAUGGUGUUCUCAAGGUUUCGGAUUUUGGUUUGAGUGCACUGCCUCAGCAAGUUCGGGAGGAUGGAUUGCUUCACACAACUUGUGGAACUCCCAACUAUGUGGCUCCUGAGGUGAUCAAUAAUAAAGGUUAUGAUGGAGCCAAGGCAGAUCUGUGGUCAUGCGGUGUAAUUCUUUAUGUCCUUAUGGCAGGUUAUUUGCCUUUCGAAGAAGCCAACCUCAUGGUGUUAUACAAAAAGAUAAAUAAAGCAGACUUCUCUUGUCCUCCCUGGUUCUCUUCAAGUGCAAAGAAAUUAAUCAAGAGAAUCCUGGACCCUAGUCCAGUAACACGGAUAACUAUUCAAGAGGUUAUUGAGAACGAGUGGUUUAAAAAAGGAUAUCAGCGACCUAAAUUUGAGCAAGAAGAUGUCAGUCUUGACGAUGUAGAUGCCAUUUUCGACGAAACAGGACAGGAAUCUCCAAAUCUCGUCGUGGAAAGGCGGGAUGAUCGUUCUGCAGCACCUGUCACUAUGAAUGCUUUUGAGCUCAUUUCCAAAUCUCAGGGCCUCAAUUUGAGCUCUCUUUUUGAAAAACAAAUGGGGCUCGUUAAACGAGAAACAAGAUUCACAUCUAAACGUCCUGCCAGUGAGAUAAUCUCAAAAAUAGAGGAAGCUGCUUUGCCCUUGGGUUUUGAUGUGAAGAAAAAUAACUACAAGCUGAAGUUGCACGGGGAGAAGAGUGGGCAUAAGGGUCACUUAUCUGUUGCAACUGAGAUAUUUGAAGUGGCACCGUCUCUUCACAUGGUUGAGGUUCGGAAGGCUGGAGGAGAUACUCUAGAAUUUCACAAGUUCUACAAAAACCUCUCAGUUGGAUUAAAUGAUAUUAUUUGGAAAACUGGAGAGGAGGCAUAAGGAUAUUCCAAUCUCUACGAUUGAAUUUAAAAGGCAAAAUAGUACCUUCCAACAUACAUAUACGCGGCCUCAAAUUUUGUGUUAACACUGGAUUCAUUUAUCAGGCCAAUUUUAGCCGAAAUAGUAUGGAAAUUGUAUAACAAGUGUUAUUGUAUUUUGAUUGCGAGUAUGAUGCAAGUACUUGUACAAGGUAUACACAAGUUGAUGUUCCUUAAAUAUAUAUGUUUUAUGAUCUGAAAUAUUAGAAGUCUCUAGGUAUUGAAGAACUGGGAUGCAUGUAACUAGAUGGAUUACACUUCAAUAAAUAUCAAUAUGUUUUUGAUAGACC